GAUGAACGCUGGCGGCGUGCUUAACACAUGCAAGUCGAACGGAAAGGCCCUGCUCUUGUGUGUUGCUUGAUUGGCGAACGGGUGAGUAACACGUGAGUAACCUGCCCCUGACUUAGGGAUAACUUCAGGAGACUGGGGCUCAUACCGGAUAGGAGCUUCUGCUGCACGGUGGUGGUUGGAAAGUUUCGGCGGUUGGGGAUGGACUCGCGGCUUAUCAGCUUCUUGGUGGGGUAGUGGCUUACCAAGGCUUUGACGGGUAGCCCGCCUGGGAGGGUGGCCAGCGACCUUGGGACUGCGGUACGGCCCAGACGGCUACGGUCCGCAGCGGUGGGGAAUAUUGCGCAGUGAGCCGGCGCCAGAUGCAGCAACGCCGCGUGCGGGAUGACCGGCUUCUGGUGGUGAACCGCUUUGGCAGGUGCCGAGGCGUGAGUGACGGUAAUGGGUCAAGAAGCACCGGCUAACUACGUG
rnacentral:rRNA from 1 species